rnacentral:ncRNA from 2 species
UCGUUCGACACGGGAGAGACUGGCGUACAGCCAGCGCCGAAGGAGCAACCGCCCCGGAAACUCUCAGGCCAAAGGACCGAGUCGGACUG